CUGCCUCGCAUAUUUCUCUCUUUUCUGGCUGUUGCCAUCCAGCCGCUUUUUGGCCAAGUGCAUUAUGAUGGCAAGCGAAUGACAGAGCAGUGAGGCAGG